ACAGGAGCCCAGAGACCUCGCAGGAGGAAGCAGCAGUAUCUGUGUUCCAAAUCCUGCCCAGCCCCCAGGCAGCCAUGCCUCCUGCCCCCAACAGGAUUCCUCACAUCCCAGGACCAGCUGGAAAAGGUGGUGAGAGUUGGAAAGAGACUGCUCAGUGAGGACUGCCCUGCGAACCAGCUUGGAUUCAUCCCGUUCACCUCCACGUUCUGCACUCGGGGCCGAGGGAAGGGAGGCAGCCCAGGCAGCUAGAGAACUUGAUGAAACACACUCAAUCUGAAUCUCGCUUGAUCGUCAUGCUGACCCAGUGAGGCCACUCCUCGACUUUUCAGCUCCCGCACGAUUCCUGAAGCAGGAAAAGAAACAGUUCUGUGAGGUAAGAUUCAGAAGGGUAAGAUAGGCCACUCAGCUGCCACCUUGAGGGGGGUACUAUAAGCAAACUGGAGUUCCUAGACUACUUAUCAAUCGUCUGCUUGGCCAGGCACGGUGGCUCAUGCCUGCAAUCUCAGCACUUUGGGAGGUCAAGGUGGAUCACUUGAGGUCAGGAGUUCAAGACUAGCCUGGGCUACAGAGCAAGGCCCCAUCUCUACAAAAAAAUUUUAAAAAUUAGCCAGGUGUAGUGGCUUGCACCUGUAGUGCCAGCUAUUUGGGAGGCUGAGGCGGGAGGAUCCCUUGAAUCCAUGAGUUCAAGGCUGCAGUGAGCUCUGAUAAUGCCACUAUACUUCAGCCUGGGUGACAGAGACUCUGUCUCAAAAAAAAAAAAAAAAAAAAAGGUCCUGCUUAGUUGACUCAUUACUAGUGAAGACCCAGGCAGGUAUUCGGUAAGAAUGAGAAGAAAAAGAGGGAUACAUGUAGUCAUCAAAAGCAAAGGUUCUAAGCCAAGCACCUGUAGUCCCAGCUACUCAGGAGGCAGAGGUGGGAGGAGCACAUGAGCCCAGGAGUUAGAGUCCAGCCUGGGCAACAUAGUGAGACCUUGUCUCUAAAAAAAAUAAAAAACAGAAACAGCAAAAAUUCUGGAGCCAGAAUGCCUGGAUUCCAAUCCUGGCUCCUCAUUUACUACCUGGUGACCUCCAGCAAGUGAUUUAACCUCUCUGUGCCUGGUUCCCCCCAUCUGUAAAAUGCUGAACCUCAUAGAAUGUGAGAAUUGGCAUUAAUUCAGAUAAAAAAACUUCCACAGAGCUUUACAGUAAAUGAACAUUGGCUGUUAUGAUUAUUAUUACCUUGGGGCAGGCGACCAGUGACUGACACCGCAUAUACACCUGGCUUAAAGUUACCUGAGAGAGAAGAAAAAAGAUACAAGAUUACAGUGAAGUUAGUUAAGACUCAAGAUCAAAUGGAAGCUUAAGCUAAAGAAGUGAUGCAACUCCAAGAGAAGAGCUAUUCCCUCUUUUGGCUACAAGUGUUAAAUGACAAGGCACAGGACACUGCUUCCCUGUGUUUCCUACAACCCGAUCUUUCCCACCCUGAGGUCACUCAUCUUGCUGAUUUGAGACUCCCUAAUGGACCUGAGGAACAGUAACAACACUACAACUAAGCCAAAAGGAGACAGGCCAACACUUACUGACUCGCUGCCACUUGGAGACCCAGCUGUCCUCUGGACUCAUCAUCGCAAUGAUUCUAGGGAGGGAAAAGAAAUGGAGAGUCAGCCUGAGCCUCCCUGGGCCUGAGCUCAAUUCUGAGAGAGGAAUCUAGGAAAAAGCCAAGUACCGAGUCUCCACUGGAAAGCUGGCAAAACUGCCUUCUGAUGUUGGGAUGAGGCUGACUCAAAGCUAGGACUGACAAAAGUUCUUCAUUCUUAUGUCCUUGGCCGGCCAGCCACAGGUCAGUUUCCAUCCCCAAAAGAUUAUCUCACUCAGCUCACAAACAUCCUUAGCCUAACAUUCCCUAGAAAAUGAGACGGCUUUAGGACAAGGGGUCCAAUAGUUACAACUAACACAACUACAAGGGGUCUAGGGCCUAGUGCAAAGAGGAGGGUGAGUGAAAACAACGGAUCCUCCUACUAGAAAGGAGUUCAACUUGGCUAAACUUUUCCUCUUAAUGACCUAUACAUAUGGGGACCCCUCUAAUGACCUAUACAUGUGGGGUUCCCUUCUCAGAACCUCAUCAGUAAGCUGAGACUCAAAGGUUGAGAUAAUACAUGAAAAACACCUAGCACAAAGACUAGCACAGAGUAGGUGCUAAAUAAGCAUUAGCUCUCCUCAUUAUCCUAAUAGUCCUUCCCAGGUAGCUGUGAUUCCAGAGGAAUGGUAAGGCUAUUCAAGGGCUAGAAGAUGCUGCUUGAGCAAGAUGGGUAAGCAUUUUUGUCAUUCAACGCAUUCAAUCAAAUGCUUACUGACUGCCUAUUGUGUGGGUGUAAGCACUGACAUUUGUUGACUGCCUCAAUAUGCCUCCCCUCUUCUCUCAGUAACAAUCUUGGAUUCUUAUUUGAGAAGAUUCCCUUCCCAUCCAAAUCCUACAUUCUCAGCCAUGCGCUGUUAAGUGGAACCGACCCUACCUCCAGGGGUGACAAGCAGAACACUAGCCCCCAGCCCUGCAGCCUGAUGGGAGAUAGGCAUGUAUGCAGGCCAUCCUCCUGACCACAAGUAUAUUCUUCUCUGUCCUUUGCAAUCUAUCUUUUUAGCCUUAGGGUCCCUACAGCCCAACCUUAUGAUUUAACCUAAACAGAAUUCCCACUGUUCUCCAAAAACAUCCUGGUUUUUCCCAUCCUAAGCCUUUGCUCUAGUCACUCCCUUUAUUUGGAAUGUUCUCUCUCUCUCUCACCUCAACUUCCUCAAAAAUCCCAAACUUCUUGCCUUAAGAGGAAAGUACUACCUCUUCCAAUUCUGGUUGAGGUCAUCUAGCCCUCUUCCGAUCUUUAAUUUGCCCACUCUUUAAGACCUAAUAUGCACUAGAAUUAUACAAAUAAUUCCUACAACCUAACAACAAAAAAACCAAACUGAAGUCAAAAAUGAGCAAAGGCCUUGAAUAGGCAUUUCUCCAAAGAUAUACAAAUGGCUAUAAGCACCUAAGAGGCUCAACAUCACCAUUCAUUGGGGGAAAUGGGACACCAAAGUCACACCCAUCAGGAUGGCUAUUAUUAAUAAAUAAUUAAGUGUUGGUGAGGAUGGGGAGAAAUUAGAACCUUUGGGCACUGUUGGUGGGAAUGGAAAAUGGUGCAGUUGCUAAACAGUAUGACAGUUCCUCAAAAAAUUAAACACUGAACUAUCAUAUGAUCUAGCAAUUUCACUUGUGGAUAUACAGAUGAUCCCUGACUUACCUUAGUUCAACUUAUGAUUUUUCAAAUUUAUGAUUUUGCAAAAGUGACAUGCAUUCAAUAGAAAUCGUUUUCAAAUUUUAAAUUUUGUUCUUUUCCAGGCUAGCAAUUCAGUACAAUAUUCUGUCAUGAUGCUGCGCAGCAGCCAUGAGCCACAGCUUCUGGUCAGCCACAGUAACAUAAGCGUUCUGAGCACAUUUGAAGUAGGCUAACUUAUUAUAUUCAGUAGGUUGGGUGUGUUAAAUGCACUUUUGGCUUAUAUUUUCAACUUAUGAUGGGCUUAUUAGGUUGUAACUCCUCGGAAGUUGAGGUGCAUCUGUACUGAAAAUAAUGAAAAGCAGGGACUUGAACACAUAUUUGUAUACCAAUGUUCACAGCAGUAUUAUUCACAAAUAGCCAAAAGGGAGAAACAACCCAAGAUAUCAUUGAUGAAUGAAUGGGCAGCAGAACAUGCUAUACACAUACAAGGGAAUAUUAUUCAGCUCAAAAGAGGAGGGAAAUUCUGUUGCAUACUACAAUAUGAAUGAACCUUGAAGACAUUAUGUUGGUGAAAGAAGCUAAAAAAUGCUACUGAAUGAGCCCAUAGGUACCUAAGGGUGCCUAAGGUGGCCAAAUUCAUAGAGACAAAGCAUGGUGGUUGUCAGGGACAGGAGGGAGGAGAGAACGAGGAGCUAGUGUUUAAUGGGUACAGAUGAAAAAAGUUCUGGAGAUGGAUGGUGGUGACGGUUGCACAACAGUGAGUAUGCACUAAUGCCACUGAAUUGUGUAUUUAGAAAUGGCGACCGGGCACAGUGGCUCAUGCCUGUAAUCCCAGCACUUUGUGAGGCUGAGACGGGAGGAUCACCUGAGGUCAGGAGUUCGAGACCAGCCUGGC
rnacentral:lncRNA from 10 species